UGAACGCUGGCGGCGUGCCUAAUACAUGCAAGUCGAGCGAACAGACGAGGAGCUUGCUCCUCUGACGUUAGCGGCGGACGGGUGAGUAACACGUGGAUAACCUACCUAUAAGACUGGGAUAACUUCGGGAAACCGGAGCUAAUACCGGAUAAUAUAUUGAACCGCAUGGUUCAAUAGUGAAAGACGGUUUUGCUGUCACUUAUAGAUGGAUCCGCGCCGCAUUAGCUAGUUGGUAAGGUAACGGCUUACCAAGGCAACGAUGCGUAGCCGACCUGAGAGGGUGAUCGGCCACACUGGAACUGAGACACGGUCCAGACUCCUACGGGAGGCAGCAGUAGGGAAUCUUCCGCAAUGGGCGAAAGCCUGACGGAGCAACGCCGCGUGAGUGAUGAAGGUCUUCGGAUCGUAAAACUCUGUUAUUAGGGAAGAACAAAUGUGUAAGUAACUAUGCACGUCUUGACGGUACCUAAUCAGAAAGCUACGGCUAACUACGUG
rnacentral:rRNA from 1 species